GAGUUUGAUCAUGGCUCAGAUUGGACGCUGGCGGCAGGCCUAACACAUGCAAGUCGAGCGGCAGCACGGGGAGCUUGCUCCCUGGUGGCGAGCGGCGGACGGGUGAGUAAUGCAUGGGAAUCUGCCCGGUAGUGGGGGAUAACCCGGGGAAACCCGGGCUAAUACCGCAUACGUCCUACGGGAGAAAGCAGGGGAUCUUCGGACCUUGCGCUAUCGGAUGAGCCCAUGUCGGAUUAGCUUGCUGGUGAGGUAACGGCUCACCAGGGCGACGAUCCGUAGCUGGUCUGAGAGGAUGAUCAGCCACACCGGGACUGAGACACGGCCCGGACUCCUACGGGAGGCAGCAGUGGGGAAUAUUGGACAAUGGGGGAAACCCUGAUCCAGCCAUGCCGCGUGUGUGAAGAAGGCUUUCGGGUUGUAAAGCACUUUCAGCGGGGAAGAAGGCAUGGCGGCUAAUACCCGCCAUGAAGGACAUCACCCGCAGAAGAAGCACCGGCUAACUCCGUGCCAGCAGCCGCGGUAAUACGGAGGGUGCAAGCGUUAAUCGGAAUUACUGGGCGUAAAGGGCGCGUAGGCGGCCUGCCAAGCCGGAUGUGAAAGCCCCGGGCUCAACCCGGGAACGGCAUUCGGAACUGGCAGGCUAGAGUGCAGGAGAGGAAGGUGGAAUUCCCGGUGUAGCGGUGAAAUGCGUAGAGAUCGGGAGGAAUACCAGUGGCGAAGGCGGCCUUCUGGACUGACACUGACGCUGAAGCGCGAAAGCGUGGGUAGCAAACAGGAUUAGAUACCCUGGUAGUCCACGCCGUAAACGAUGUCGACCAGCCGUUGGACCCCCUGAGGGUCUGGUGGCGCAGUUAACGCAAUAAGUCGACCGCCCUGGGGAGUACGGCCGCCAGGCUAAAAC
rnacentral:rRNA from 1 species